ensembl:lncRNA
AAAUUAUAUAUAUAUAAUAUAUAUAUAUUUCCAAUAAAUGAACUUUCUGUUCAUCAAAAAUAAAUAAAUAAAAAUCCUGAAAAAAAAAUGCAUCACAGUUUCCUCAGAAAUAUUAAACAACACAACUGUUUUCAACAUGAAAUGUUUCUUGAGAAGCAUAUCAGCAUAUUAGAAUGAUUUCUGAAGAACCAUGUGACACUGAAGACUAGAGUAAUGAUGCUGAAAAUUCAGAUUUGCAUCACAGGAAUAAAUCACAUUUUAAAACAUAAAUAUUAAAAUUGAAAGCAGUUGUUUUGAAUUGUAAAAAUAUUUACAAUAUUAUUUAGUAUUUACAAUAUUUACUGUAUUUUUGAUUUGCCUUGAUAAGCAUUAGAAAAACAUUAAAACUCGGAAUAUCAAAUCUCUUUAAAUCUUUUUUUGAAAGUUUAAGUAAUUUUUUGCAUCCUUUCUAAUGGAUUAGUGUGUCUUUCACAUAGCACGACUAGCACGGCCUAUUUGUGUUUACUAAAUGUUUGCUGAGUCCUGACUUUUCUGCAGUACGUGUGCAAACAUGUGAAGUGCAGGCUACAGGUGUUGUUUGACAAGUGCAGUUCUGCAUAGCUUUGCCCUUUCCUUUUUUAUGUUUGACAAAAGUCUGCAAAUCUCUUAAGUCUCAUAUUUGAACAGAAUGUUUUGUAUGUCAUCGACAGUGCCCACACAGCGGUAACGUCACUAAUGUUUAUUUUGUGAAGGCAUGCGAGUUCAUUGGGUGGAGAAGUCUUCGACAGGUUGCAACUGAAGCAUGUGUGUUAAUGUGUGUGUAAACAGAGAAGUCCGCAGAGGCAGUGGAAAAGUUGCAGUGGGUCGUAGCAGGUGUAAAUGGAUCUGAGGUCUACGGGCUCUGAAAUGGAAGCCAGUAGCAGCUGGAAGGCCUUAUGACUCACAAGGUCAGAAGGUCAAUGCAGCAGCAGGCAGCAGACUGCAUUUACCAGCGCAGAGACGCAGGGUGUGAGAAGAGCCUGAAACUCUGUCAUCAGAAACUCAGAUUGGGGUCAGGCAGGCGUCUCUGGGCUUUCCUGUCUAUAAGCACAGGCCGCCAGGCGGAUGACAUGGCCUGUUAUUCCACGUGUAAGGAAUUGGCAAAUUACACACUGAGGAGAUGAAAGGAACACUGAAAUCCUGCCAGUACGUUCUUAGUCCGCAGCUGCGAAAGCCAAGUGCUGGUGUCACCAAUCAGGGUGUUGUUCACCUCUCCCAAGGGCGUUCGCUGUGGAUUUAGAUGUCAGUGUCAUGAACAACCACGCAAUAGGGUGAGAUAAUUAUCAGAUUAAUACUGUUUUAGCCCUGUAGAGACGUAAUGGUCUGUUGAAAUUUCACUCUCAGGUGUCCAAAGAGUCAUACAACCUAACGAGAAUGGCAGCGAUGCGACACCCAAUCUGUUCAUCUGAGAAGGGAAGAAGGGAAGGCAAAAGGCGGACUCUAAGGAACUGCGUAGAGGCCAAAACAGAUGGCCUUGUAAGUGUUAAUUUUGAUACCAUGUUUCCAUCACAUUUCCCCUUAGGAUGCAUUAUACAGGCUUUUGUUUGAAGAUAUUUCCUGUGAGGUCCUGUGACCUACACUAGUGCCGUAGAUACAGUUGUAUUAUGUACACCACCAGUCGAGAUUGAACUUUCACACAAUCUUAAAUAUAUUUUUGAUCUAAAUGUUUAUGCCUAAAAAUGCAUAUAUAUAUAUAUAUUACAUUUACAUCAUGUAAAGUUGUUAUGUAAUAUUACAUAUAUAGCCUAACCUGUUGUGAACUGUAAUCAGUUCAUUAAAAAGAUCAACUUUUUUUCUCCAUCCAAAUGCAAUCCAAAAAAAGAAGCCUCUAGACUUUCUUUUUUAACCUUUUAAAACUUUGUUUUGUCCAAUUAUUCUCUCUUUAUUUAAUUGAAAUAAAAUGUAAAAAAAAAAUAAAAAAUAAUAAUAA